UACAGAGGUGGCAAGCGUUGUUCGGAAUUACUGGGGCGUAAAGGCGCGUAGGCGGCCUUCUAAGUCAGACGUGAAAUCCCCCGGCUUAACCUGGGACUGCGUCUGAUACUGGGAGGCUUGAGUAUGGGAGAGGGAUGUAGAAUUCCAGGUGUAGCGGUGAAAUGCGUAGAUAUCUGGAGGAAUACCGGUGGCGAAGGCGGCAUCCUGGACCAUAACUGACGCUGAGGCGCGAAAGCUAGGGGAGCAAACGGG
rnacentral:rRNA from 1 species